GUUCCUAUAGUUAAAAUUUGUAACGACGGCUUUUCAGGCCGUAGAUCCCGGAGAGAAGCUGGGUGGGAAUU
rnacentral:tRNA from 1 species